GCGACAGUUGGCGACUCCACUGGGGACGUUCGAGAGUCCGAGCAAAUUUGAUUUAAUCAAACUUUUUUUUCUUUUAAUCUUUUCAUAUAUCACAUUUGGAUGUUUAGGAUUGCAUUUUUCCUUUUAUUAGGAUUUUUUGCAUCUCACACCAACUCCCUCACUUACUCAUUUGGCGUAUGAUUAUUUUGAUUGAUGAAUGGUUUAUGUAUGUAAUUCCGCGCUUGACAUUGCAUUUGGGUGGGGGACACACCCUAGAGCCUCGCGUUAGUUCUUGAUCCCUCCCCUCCAAACAAGCACUAGCAUACGUGCAUCCGUUUUAUUUAUUUUACCCCUC
rnacentral:lncRNA from 1 species